rnacentral:rRNA from 1 species
CGGCUUAAUUUGACUCAACGCGGGACAACUUACCGGGCCCGACGACCGUAAGAGUGUGACACACGAUAGGUCGAAGAGUGGUGCAUGGCCGUUAACGACGAGUGGAGUGAUCUUUGGGUUAAGUCCGUAAAUUAGUGAGACCUCAGCCGUAAGGGACAGGUGCGCAAAGCACAGGAAGGAUGGGUCAAGGACAGGUCAGUGAUGCCCUUAGAUGGUCCGGGCUGCACGCGCACUACAGUGGUCGCCGAAAUUACCUGAUAAUUAUAAAGGCGAUCGAGAGGGAAUGAGCUUUGUAAGAGGCUCAGGAACGAGGAAUUGCUAGUAAUCGCGGACUCAUUAAGACGCGAUGAAUACGUCCCUGUUCUUUGUACACACCGCCCGUCGUUAUCGAAGAUGAAGAUAGGCGCGAACGAUCUACCAGAAAGUGAGCGCAGGUUUUUAGAUCUGAUACAAGUCGUAACAAGGUAGCUGUAGGAGAACCUGUAGCUGG